UACGUAGGGUGCAAGCGUUGUCCGGAAUUAUUGGGCGUAAAGAGCUCGUAGGCGGUCUGUCGCGUCGGCCGUGAAAACCUGCAGCUUAACUGUGGGCUUGCGGUCGAUACGGGCAUCACUGGAGUUCGGCAGGGGAGACUGGAAUUCCAGGUGUAGCGGUGAAAUGCGUAGAUAUCUGGAGGAAUACCGGUGGCGAAGGCGGCAUCCUGGACCAUAACUGACGCUGAGGCGCGAAAGCUAGGGGAGCAAACGGG
rnacentral:rRNA from 1 species